CACCCAUGCUGCUUUUUGCAAAGGCCUCUGAUAAUUCAGUUAGCACCAGGAUGGAAUUAUCAGAGGCCUAUGAAGGAAGUAGCCUGGGC